UUUGAUGACCUGAUGCAAUAAUUUGCCCAUCUUACCGGCACAUUGCUCCUUUUAAUUCUUCCUCCACCAUUGCAGCCACGGAGAAGAACGGCGGGAAUAGUUUUCUUAUAUCAUGCUCUCGACUCUCUGUGUGUGUGAGCGAGAGAAGAGAUAAAGCGAAAUGGGUUUCUUGCCGUCUCCCGGCGGCCAUUUGGUCGCCUCCACCUUCGACCUGCGAGACCUUGGCGUGCUCUUCGAGAACCAGCAGCGCCACCUCAACCAUUUCUUCGACAACCUAGACCUUGGUCAGGCCCAGGCCUUCGCCCAGGCCCUCAUCGACGCUCCCGGCGCCGUCUUCUUCUCCGGCAUCGGCAAGUCGGGCUUCGUUGCCCACAAGCUCUCACAGACCCUCGCUUCCCUCGGCUUCACCAGAUCUUCCUACCUACCUCCCGUCGACGCUCUCCACGGCGACAUCGGCGCGCUCUUCCCUUCCGACCUUCUAGUCCUCAUCUCUAAGUCUGGAUCAUCAGAUGAGCUUCUCAAAUUGGUACCCUGUGCCCGCGCGAAAGGCGCGCGCUUGAUCUCCAUUACCUCCGUACAAAGCAACCCCCUCGCCGCGCUUUGCGAUAUGAACGUUCACUUACCACUUGAGAAAGAGGCCUGCCCCUUUGGCCUUGCACCCGUCACCUCCACCGCAAUCCAGAUGGUGUUUGGUGACACGAUUGUGGCCGCGAUCAUGAGGGUCAGGAAACUCACCAAGGAGCAGUACGCGCGCAAUCAUCCCGCCGGAAAGAUCGGGAAGAGCCUCAUCUUCAAGGUAAAGGAUUUGAUGAAAAAGCGAGAAGACCUUCCACUUUGCAAGGAAGGAGAUAUGAUUAUGGAUCAACUCACAGAGCUGACUAGUAAAGGCUGUGGAUGUCUUUUAGUCAUUAAUGCUGAAAAUCGACUGAUUGGGACUUUUACAGAUGGUGACUUGCGGCGCACACUCAAGUCGAACGGCGAAGGCAUCUUUAAACUCACAGUUGGUGAAAUGUGUAACAGAUGAAUGAAAAGGCUCCCUUGGCGAUCAAUUCUGUUUGGCAGUCAACGUCUUGAUGGAGGCUCUAGGGAACACAAUCACUGAAGGUUUGUGGCUAAAGUUAUAUUCUUUAUACAUGCCUAAAGUUUUUCUGAUAGAUUUUGUCAAAAAUAGUGAUUUUACAAUUUUGCUUGCAUGAAAGUACAUCCAUUAGUGAAGGUGAUUGGCACUUCCAAAGAAGUCAAGCUUGAAGUUGAGGCAGAAUGCACCUCUCCAAACCAGAGUUAUUUGAGUAUGACCUAUCUUAAUGUUGGCCCUAAUUUCUCCAAGGAUCACUAGGACACUCCUACAUUGGAAGAGGACUUUAAGUUUGAUUUUGCGACUUUUAGCUUGGGCUCUCCCAUUUCUCUGGGUCGUACAUCAAUUGGAAUAUGUCUCGUCUUACAUGUGCGUGACCUGCUCCAUUGACCAUAGUGUAGUCGUCAAGAGUCCUCUGCAAACCCACAAUGAUACCGAUUAAAGAAGAAAGCUAAGGAACCCACGAACAAUUACUCCUGAAGCAAUGGCUGUGGAAGCUAUGCAGAAAAUCGAGUCACCGCCGUCUGCUGUUCAGUUCUUGCCUGUUGUGGAUGAUCAGAAGGCCGUGAUUGGAAUCAUAACCCUGCAUGGA